GGAUGGAGCCCCUCCUCUGGUCCCGUGGCUGAGGCACCUUCCUCGGCACCUGCCUGUUUUAUAACCCACUCCAAAGCGUCUUGGGCAAAUUUUGGGGGUGGGGGGGAGUGAGGUGGGCACAAGAUGCUUCCUGAAAGGUGGUUGAUCUCAGUGCAGCUGCAGCAGGCCUGGGCUCGGAGGGGCUCCCUCUUGUCCUCCCAGCAAACCAGCUUGGGUCAGCUGCUCCAAGCAGCUCCCCUGUGUUUCUGUCCUGGGAGAAGAGGGACAGCUGGGACCACCACCACCACCCCCCUCCACCGUGUCCAGAAGAGGACCUGGGCUCCGUAAAGGGUCGAGGGCCCCAGGCCCACCUGCCCCCAGCCCACAGGUGCCGUAAACAGAGGACCCAGUCCUUGCCCUCUACGCAGCUGUUCUAUGUGUGAGGUGGGAGGACUCCCAGUAACCUGGAAGCUCAGGCCUCCUCUUCUCGGGAGUUCCCUGGCUGCUGGUACCAGGGUCCCGGGAACGUGUCUGGGCUGGAGGGGGAAGCUGAGUGUCCUCAGGCCUCGGAACCUUCGCAGUGGCCUAGCCCAGUCCCUUCAAGGGCCGUCUGAGCACUGGAACAGGAGCUGAGGGGCACAAAGCAUCAGCUGUCACUCGGCCUUGGGAUACUCCUGCCCUGCCCUGUUCAUCAGUUUGUCUGUCCGUCCUUCCCUGCAAAGACAUAUUUAUGGAGAAAACAGUCCCAUGCCUGCGAUGCCAGAGCUCUGUGAAAGGCUGGGAGAAUGAGGUGGUUUGGUUUUUUGUUUAAAGAAAAAUGAGCAAGGGGACCGUGGAGACAGGUUGGGGGUUGGAGUAGGGGGCGGGAUAUGUUGUCUCUCGUCCCUCCAGGUGCCGGAGAGCUUCUCCGCUCAGUGCACAUUUGCCCUUCCAAUGAUUUCUCAGAUGUGAUUCUUUCUAGAGUUGGUCCUGGAUGCCCACGUGUAGUUCACAGAAGAGGCUGCGCCUGGGGGCACCUGAUGGGUGCAGCCCAUCCACCUGGAAACUUCAGAACUUACCAUGGGGCUGAGACCAUAGAAGGGGCAGAGGUGGGCAGGUCAUCCUGGGGCUGGCUGGGGCAGCGUGUGGAGCGGGUGUUCAGAGCCACAGAUCUUUGUCAGCUUAUGUACCUAGGCUGCCAGUUCAUCCCCAGGGCCCACAGUUUGCCUCAUCUGGGGAAAAAUCCACCUGCCAAUGAAGUCCAAGAUCGUUUCCCAGAAGGGGUAUUUUCACAGGAACAAGCGUUUAUCUCCAAAACCUCGGCUGGUCAGCCGUGCACGCUCCAGCAGAGCACCGAAGACCCAUCGGGGCUCAGCGCCAGGGCGCCUCCUGAAGACUGAAAAAUGCAUCCAGAACCGCAUGUCUUCCUGAAGCUUGAACCCACCCAUUUGCUUUCUGAUGUGUGGUCACUGUUGCUCAGUUUGUCCCCAAAGGGGAUGUCACCCUAGCUCCAUGAAAAACCGCCAAGACCUUGUUCGGCCUGGCUUCAUGGGCACGUAGCCUGUGCAGUCAUCCCAUGCUCUAUGCUCUGCUGUCUCUGUCUUAAAGUUCUUUUUUUUAAAUCAAUAUUUUUAUUUAUCAAUAUAUUUUUUAUUUUCAACAA